AGGGGGUUUNNUCCAUGGGCUCAGAUUGAACGCUGGCGGCAGGCCUAACACAUGCAAGUCGAGCGGAUGAGAGGAGCUUGCUCCUGGAUUCAGCGGCGGACGGGUGAGUAAUGCCUAGGAACCUGCCUGGUAGUGGGGGACAACGUUUCGAAAGGAACGCUAAUACCGCAUACGUCCUACGGGAGAAAGCAGGGGACCUUCGGGCCUUGCGCUAUCAGAUGAGCCUAGGUCGGAUUAGCCAGUUGGUGAGGUAAUGGCUCACCAAGGCGACGAUCCGUAACUGGUCUGAGAGGAUGAUCAGUCACACUGGAACUGAGACACGGUCCAGACUCCUACGGGAGGCAGCAGUGGGGAAUAUUGGACAAUGGGCGAAAGCCUGAUCCAGCCAUGCCGCGUGUGUGAAGAAGGUCUUCGGAUUGUAAAGCACUUUAAGUUGGGAGGAAGGGCAGUAAAUUAAUACUUUGCUGUUUUGACGUUACCGACAGAAUAAGCACCGGCUAACUCUGUGCCAGCAGCCGCGGUAAUACAGAGGGUGCAAGCGUUAAUCGGAAUUACUGGGCGUAAAGCGCGCGUAGGUGGUUCGUUAAGUUGAAUGUGAAAUCCCCGGGCUCAACCUGGGAACUGCAUCCAAAACUGGCGAGCUAGAGUAUGGUAGAGGGUGGUGGAAUUUCCUGUGUAGCGGUGAAAUGCGUAGAUAUAGGAAGGAACACCAGUGGCGAAGGCGACCACCUGGACUGAUACUGACACUGAGGUGCGAAAGCGUGGGG
rnacentral:rRNA from 1 species